AAGGAUCAUUAGAAAUCACCGGCAUAGCCGGUAUAAAAUUCUAUCCACCUUGUGUGCAAACAAUGGAAAAAAGAGAAAAUAUUGGAUACUUUUUUGCAUCCAACUUCUCUAAAAAAAAAUUAUAAACUCCAUCAAAUUUUGAAUAAAAACAAUUUUUUUUAAUAAAAAAAAAUAUUAUACAACUUUCAACAACGGAUCUCUUGGCUCUC
rnacentral:misc_RNA from 1 species